rnacentral:lncRNA from 10 species
CAGGAUGAGGGGGCUGAGAAGCAUGCACAGGCACAGAGGAGGGAAAAUAGAGAAGAGUAAGAAAAAGUGAUGGAGGAAGGAAGAGGAAAAGAAGCAAGGAUCCAAAAUGCAAAUGUGGGACAUUUUAGAAGAGCAGAACGUUGCAUUUCAGCCUUCCUGUCUGAUAUAACCCAUCUGGUGACUGCAUUCAAAAGAGCCCUACCAAGAAUAUUUUCAUGGAGUUAUUUUUCCACUGUGUAUUUCACACUUCAUCUUUGCAGGAGAAUGGAUGGAUUUACUUGGCACGUAGCAGGGGACAGUCUGUGGAAAGAAGUGAGAAGGAUAAUCCAAUAGCAAAAGUGAGGGGUGAUGAAGAGUGAAAGGUACCAACGUCCCCUUCCGCAUAUUCCUCUCCACUCUCUCAGUAUUGGAAUCUAAGUCUGAAGUUUUAGACAAGGCUCAGGGACGGCUUAAACUGUAGAUGCAGUUCCCUUCUCUAGUCCCAAAGGCUCCCAGUCAGCCCUAGGCCUUGUGUAGGGAGCUUCCAAAUGCCUACUCAAGGUUUAAUUAAUUUUCUGCAAAAAAUGAUUGGUUGACAUGACAGCAAUAAACAUCAAAUUCCAUUAAUUAAUACUGAGACAUCAGUGUCCACGCUGCUUCUCAAUUACACAUUCAGAGGCAGCCACGCUUAUGCUGGCAUCAAUUUGGUCGUGA